AUUGAACGCUGGCGGCAGGCCUAACACAUGCAAGUCGAGCGGAUGAAGGGAGCUUGCUCCUGGAUUCAGCGGCGGACGGGUGAGUAAUGCCUAGGAAUCUGCCUGGUAGUGGGGGAUAACGUCCGGAAACGGGCGCUAAUACCGCAUACGUCCUGAGGGAGAAAGUGGGGGAUCUUCGGACCUCACGCUAUCAGAUGAGCCUAGGUCGGAUUAGCUAGUUGGUGGGGUAAAGGCCUACCAAGGCGACGAUCCGUAACUGGUCUGAGAGGAUGAUCAGUCACACUGGAACUGAGACACGGUCCAGACUCCUACGGGAGGCAGCAGUGGGGAAUAUUGGACAAUGGGCGAAAGCCUGAUCCAGCCAUGCCGCGUGUGUGAAGAAGGUCUGGAUUGUAAAGCACUUUAAGUUGGGAGGAAGGGCAGUAAGUUAAUACCUUGCUGUUUUGACGUUACCAACAGAAUAAGCACCGGCUAACUUCGUG
rnacentral:rRNA from 1 species